ensembl:lncRNA
GUUCUCAAAGCCAUCAGAGGACAAAAUGACGUCCCUUCCUGGCAAAGACAACGCAGAGAAGAGGCAGAUCUGCUGGCUCCCACUGAGGAGGUUGUUGGCAGCUGUCACACAAGAGGUCACUCGAUGCUGACAACUGGACAACAACUGCCCACAAACUAAACCUCUACUUUCGGUCAAAAUUAUUGAGAAGACUGUGACCGGUCAGGUUCAAACAUCAGAACUGAGUAGCUCUGGUUGAUGAAGCUGAUCAAAGGACAGACAAGGAGAGAUCAGAGCGCUGCAUAAUUACCCUGGUGUCCUCCUGAGAACGAGUGAUGGUUGGGUAUCAGGUGCCUGAGCCACGUCUAUCAGCUUUUAACACAGGUAAUCAGAAGACCCUGUAGACUCCUCUGCAAAUCUUCAAAUUGUUGGCUUGCUUUUUCUCUUCUAGAAACCAGAAAAAUAACCUGCUCUUCUCUCUGCCAGGAUUUGAUUAUAUGUUGCCUUUCCUGCUGCUCAGGAUGUCCGGAAGUCUUACCUCAAGUUCCCGAAGAAUUUUCUCAGAGUCCUGCAGACGAUGUCAUAAACAACUUUUCUUCAGCUACUUUCAUCCUGUGUUUUGAAUGAAGGUUCAGAUGAGGAAGAGCUUUUGUGGCUUAAAACUGUAGUUCUGCAGCUGUAAAUUUCACGCUCCUUACAGGGAGACUGCAUCCAGGCUAAUGUGCUGAAAAAUAAUUAAAAGAAUAAUCUUUCACCAUGCACAAACAUGGAAAUACGUAUCAACUGAAGCAGCAAAUGUCGGGUAAGGGUUUUAUUUUUCCUGCUUUUGUAACUCAUGAGCAAGAUCAUCAACGUCAGUUGUAAGAAAGGACGCCUGAACACUGCUUUUAGGUCUCAAAUGCACAGAGUUCUGGACAUGUGGGCAAGUCAAAGAGAAUCAAAGUUUUAUAGAAACAUCCAUCUUUAAAAAUUGGGUCCUAUAUCAGAGCGUAGGCAGAAAAGCGCGAGACAUUCUUCAGCACACACACUUUAACUUUGCAAGGGCAGCAAUUCUCCAACAAUUCCCCACACAAAGAUUUUAUUCUGUUUGUGGCCCUUUUAUCAACGCAUUGCUAGAUGCUAGAUUCUCUGUGUUAAUCCGCUAGCUCAAUGAUCAUACUGCACAGAAGGACCAUCUUUGACAGAAGACUGCAACUGUAACGUUGAGGAAAACGCAGCAGAUCAAGAGGCGUGCAUACAUAUACAUUUCAAAUUACUCUCCAUACAGUGAGACAAACUAUACAAGAAAAGAAGUUAUCUGCAUUGUAAAGCAGGACAGCAGCAUUGUUUCGAACUGUAUGCUGCAUGCAUUUCAGCAAAGCGAAAGGGAUAGACACCUGCUUUUUGACUUCCAAGUCACGUAGUCUGCAAAAUAACAGUAAACCUGAUCUGAUGGACUGUCCUGUAUAGGAGUAACACAACCAUUUUUUAAACAUCUUGUGGGUUAUUUAUGACCAAGCUUGUUUUCCAGUAAAAAGACUGACCGUGUUUCAGACAAUGGUAAUACCUCGCUUUGCAACUGUGCAGUCCAUAAAUUCCGACUGGCGAUUUGCUAAGGACACUGCUCACUGUUCACGAAGCCAGAGAUGGAAUCAACAUCACACGCUUAAACCCAGCUCUAGACAACACGCUAGCUAACGGCUGAAGAACGAUCGUGCUUUUUCACUCGAGAAGGGCCUCUUCCACAAAGCCCGUCUCUAGGUGAAUAGCUACCCUGCAGUUUGAGAGAGAGGGGCCAAGCCUGGUGUGCUGUAGGAGAACCGCCCCCAUCUGCAGUGCGUAUGGGGAAUCGAAUCAUCUCAGAUGAUGCGAAUCUUGCAGAGACAGUAAUUCCUGACGCCCUGCUCAUACAUAUACUUGCAGACAACUGAAAGACUCGUUGAGAAAUAUUUGAAUAUCCUGACAAUUUAAUCUUUAGUGUAAUCACUGUAAGACGCGCUGAUAAGAAAUAAAUAAGGCUUGACGGGGACA